GUUGAGCAGAGCUCUCUCUCUCUGCUUCCCAGCACCAUGUUCCCAGCUGCUUUCCUCUGCCAUGACGUUCUGUCUCAUCCCAGGCCCUGAGGAAUGGAGACGGCCACCUCUCCAUGAGGUGGACUGAGGCCUCUGAAACUACUUGAAACUUGCUUCAAGUUACAAUUCUUGACAUCGUUGGAAUGCAGCGCCACUCUCUGAAUAACUCCUAUGCUGGGCCCUGCUCUUUAGCACUGAAUGAAGAAAAUACUGCAUAGAAAGAGAGGAUAGAAAUCACUUACAACUUCAAAACCAGAGAGAAUCAGUCUUCAUUCUGUCCGUUGUCUAUGUUUGUGUAGGUCCUCACCUAAGGAUAAUUGCUCUUCCUCCUGAAGUACAUCUUGCAGGAAUUCUUUCGGUGAAGGUCCAUUGAGGCGAAACUCUUUUGGUUUGAGUCUACUUGCAAAUAGUGAUAUUUGAUAUGACACUCCUUGUGAUGUUGUGCAGAGGCAGUGAGCUGCAGCUGUUGUCAGUCACACCGUCAUGAAGUGCUAUGAAGAAGAGGAGACAGGGUAUGCAGGAGGAAGAAGAAAAGAACCAAGACUACUCUAGUUUUGAAUCACUCAUUGUUGGAAGUCAUUCAGCAGGAGGACUGGCUGCUUGUGUUUAUCCCUGUUUGUACUGCACCCCUCUUAUUUUUAUAGGGGCACUCUGCAUCUCUUCAGAUUUCAGGAUAACUAUCCUGUGCCUUAAUCUCUUUUGUGUUGCUGUAACAGAAUGCCAGUGACUGGGAAAAUUAUAAAGAAAAUAAAUUUCUCAUAGAUCUGGAGGCUGGAAGUCCGACAUCAAGGUGCCAACAUCUAGUGGGUGUCCUCUUGCUGUGUCAUCCUGUGGCAGAAGGAAGAAACUGAGGGGCAAAGAAUUUGAGUGACUUGCCACAGUUAUACAACUAAUGAGUGUUGGAACUGAGAUGCCAAUAACACUGAGCUGACUCCAGAGCUGUCUUCUUUAUAUAAAUAAAACGAGGCUAUCACUUUUUCAGAUAUUAAAAAGAAUCCAGUUGAACAAAGAAAGGACAUGCUGUAAGAAAUAGUUCAAUAGCAGAAGAUCCUAUAAUAGUAUUUGAAAGGAGAAAUAUUCUCAUACUGAUGAAAGGAAGAAAGGGAAGAAAAACCUGUGAGAAUUUUACAGCACCCUCUCCUGACCCAGGAAGACACUUCUAAGAGCUGCAUGAAACUGUAUUUAAGGUCGACAGGAAUAAAGCUGUCCAUCUUACUUUUCUUAUACAUACACCCUUAGACUCCUCUGCAUUACUCAUUGGCAUCUCUAGCUCUUCAACUCCAAAAAUUUCACCGAAGCCAUUUGAGCAUUUUAAGUUUUAUUUUAAAUUAUAUCUUUUUUCAUUUUAAAUGAUUUCUUCCUACUGUUGGUAGAUGUUGUGUGCAUUACAUUACAGGAGAAUCAUUCUCUUUGCCUGAGGAAUAAGACCGUGUAAAAGUAACCCAUGUUGCAUUAGGAAAGUCUUUGUAUACAGAUACCUGGGAAAGAGUGCUCACAGGGCACAGGCACAAGCACCACACAUGAGGAGUGACAGUGUUCAGCUGUGCUUCCAGGAAACCAAUUUAUUUUGCAUAGAAACAAAGUGGAGACCAAAGAAAUUAUAUUAGUGGAAGGCGUAUUGGAAUGUAUUUAAAUAUAUCGGUUGCUCAUAAACUGUUAGAUAUUAAAUACAUAACAUUUAGGUUCUAGGCUUUGUUUCAUGACCUGUUAGUGGUGGUGGUAGAGGGGCAGGGAGGAAGGAGAGGGUAGGAUAAAUAGUUUGUCCAUUAGAGGAAUUUUAAACUGGAAAACCCAAGAAAAUACUUCUUGUUAUCAGUUAUGCUUCAUGUGGACACUGAAAAUACCCUGAAAAUACCUCCUAUAAUUUUGAUUCUAACACUUUAGGGUACACCCAAUGAGGUGUGUGUGUGUGUGUGUGUGUGUUUGUGUGUGUGUGUGUGUGUGUGUGUGCAAAUCUUAUUGUGAAGUCAACAAUUACAGGGAAUCCAGGAUAUUUUUCAGCAGCAAUCCUUAUUUCAAAAUGUAAGCUAGACUUUGAGAAUAUUUGAAUAUAUCAAAUUGUAACAAAAUAGCAUUUUGUUGAUGAGAAAGCCCUUUCCCAUCCAAUCUGAAAUGGAUGAAGGCAGUAUUAACUUUAGUCCAAAUUCAGAGCAAAAUCUGCUUCACUCACAUUUCUAGGAGACAGACUACAUUCUUAAGAAAUGUGCAUUCUAGUCAGAAGCUCUCGCUUUACAUUUUUUUCUUAAUGUGGGAGAGAAAGGGCGCUUCAGUGAGUCGAGGUCUUGGCAGCCUCAAGAAGGGCAGGGCACCCAUGUCUUGCUGCAGGUGCCAAGGGUCACCUGGUUCCUUUCAUUUCAACAUUAAAACACUCCUGAGAAAAGAGUCAGGCUCUCCACCUUUGAAUAUUGCUCAAUCAUUUCUUUUUACUUCUUGCUUCAGUGAGCCCAGCAUGUGGUUUGCAGGGAAUCUAUUAAAAAGAAAACCCUUCACUGUUCUAUGGAUGGAUUUCGGAGAAAUCUAUAGUCAACUCAUGUUUCUCAAUUCCUUCACAACAGCUCUAAUUCUCUCAGUCUUGGUGAGGGCAUACUAAAAAAUUGGUUCCUAAUUUAUAAUUUAACAAGUGACAGAAUAUUUCGACAUUAGCAAAGGAAGGGAAUUGUUUUAUAUAUCAUCGGUGACUCAAAUCAUGACCACGGCUUUUCCUUUUUGUCAGUUGUGCUGAGCAGAUUGUCACAGUCAAAUAACAGCGCUGUUAGAAGUCUAGGCCAAUUGUGUUGAAACUUUCUGGGUAAAUGAGAUCAUUUGGGCUCUACCUUAUAUAUAGAUUACAGCAGUUGUCAUUAAGAAUGCCUGCUCCUGGCUGGGUGCCUGUAAUCCCAGUGGCUUGGGAGGCUGAGGCAGAAGGAUCAUAAGUUCAAAGUUAGCUUCAGCAAUUUAGCAAGACCCUAAGCAACUUAGUGAG